GGGCAGCAUUUGAAGCUUGCUUCAAUGAUGGCGACCGGCGCACGGGUGAGUAACACGUAUCCACCUGCCGAUAACUCGGGGAUAGCCUUUCGAAAGAAAGAUUAAUACCCGAUAGUUCCGCAUGGUUAAAGAAUUUCGGUUAUCGAUGGGGAUGCGUUCCAUUAGAUAGUUGGCGGGGUAACGGCCCACCAAGUCAACGAUGGAUAGGGGUUCUGAGAGGAAGGUCCCCCACAUUGGAACUGAGACACGGUCCAAACUCUACGGGAGGCAGCAGUGAGGAAUAUUGGUCAAUGGACGAGAGUCUGAACCAGCCAAGUAGCGUGAAGGAUGACUGCCUAUGGGUUGUAAACUUCUUUUAUACGGGAAUAAGUGGAGUAUGCAUACUCCUUUGUAUGUACCGUAUGAAUAAGGAUCGGCUAACUCCGUGCCAGCAGCCGCGGUAAUACGGAGGAUCCGAGCGUUAUCCGGAUUUAUUGGGUUUAAAGGGAGCGUAGGCGGGUGCUUAAGUCAGUUGUGAAAGUUUGCGGCUCAACCGUAAAAUUGCAGUUGAUACUGGGCGCCUUGAGUGCAGCAUAGGUAGGCGGAAUUCGUGGUGUAGCGGUGAAAUGCUUAGAUAUCACGAAGAACUCCGAUUGCGAAGGCAGCUUACUGGACUGUAACUGACGCUGAUGCUCGAAAGUGUGGGUAUCAAACAGGAUUA
rnacentral:rRNA from 1 species